CCUACACGACCGUACCGCAAACCGACACUGGUGCGCGAGAUGAGUAUUCUAAGGCGCUUGAGAGAACUCAGGAGAAGGAACUCGGCAAAUUGACACCGUAACUUCGGAAGAAGGUGUGCCUUUAGUAGGUGAACCUGUACAAGGGGAGCCCAAUGAGGUUGCAAAAAAUCGGUGGCUGCGACUGUUUAAUAAAAACACAGCACUCUGCAAACACGAAAGUGGACGUAUAGGGUGUGACGCCUGCCCGGUGCUGGAAGAUUAAAUGAUGGGGUGCAAGCUCUUGAUUGAAGUCCCAGUAAACGGCGGCCGUAACAAUAACGGUCCUAAGGUAGCGAAAUUCCUUGUCGGGUAAGUUCCGACCUGCACGAAUGGCGUAACGAUGGCCACACUGUCUCCUCCUGAGACUCAGCGAAGUUGAAAUGUUUGUGAUGAUGCAAUCUCCCCGCGGAAAGACGGAAAGACCCCAUGAACCUUUACUGUAGCUUUGUAUUGGACUUUGAACAGAUCUGUGUAGGAUAGGUGGGAGGCUUUGAAGUGUGGUCGCUAGAUCGCAUGGAGCCAACGUUGAAAUACCACCCUGGUGUGUUUGAGGUUCUAACCUAGGCCCGUAAUCCGGGUCGGGGACAGUGCAUGGUAGGCAGUUUGACUGGGGCGGUCUCCUCCCAAAGCGUAACGGAGGAGUUCGAAGGUACGCUAGGUACGGUCGGACAUCGUGCUAAUAGUGCAAUGGCAUAAGCGUGCUUAACUGCGAGACUGACAAGUCGAGCAGAUGCGAAAGCAGGACAUAGUGAUCCGGUGGUUCUGUAUGGAAGGGCCAUCGCUCAACGGAUAAAAGGUACUCUGGGGAUAACAGGCUGAUACCGCCCAAGAGUUCAUAUCGACGGCGGUGUUUGGCACCUCGAUGUCGGCUCAUCUCAUCCUGGGGCUGUAGCCGGUCCCAAGGGUAUGGCUGUUCGCCAUUUAAAGAGGUACGUGAGCUGGGUUUAAAACGUCGUGAGACAGUUUGGUCCCUAUCUUCCGUGGGCGCUGCAGAUUUGAGGAAGCCUGCUCCUAGUACGAGAGGACCGGAGUGGACACACCUCUGGUGUAUCGGUUGUCACGCCAGUGGCAUUGCCGAGUAGCUAUGUGUGGAAGAGAUAACCGCUGAAAGCAUCUAAGCGGGAAACUCGUUUCAAGAUGAGAUCUGCCGGGGCCUUGAGCCCCCUAAAGAGUCGUUCAAGACCAGGACGUUGAUAGGUCGGGUGUGGAAGCGCAGUAAUGCGUUAAGCUAACCGAUACUAAUUGCUCGUGCGGCUUGACCAA
rnacentral:rRNA from 1 species